rnacentral:tRNA from 1 species
CCUGGUGGCUCAGACGGUAAAGCAUCUGCCUGCAAUGUGGGAGACCCGGGUUCGAUCCCUGGGCCAGGA